rnacentral:lncRNA from 1 species
ACAUAAGUCAGGAAGCUUCAAGAAAUAAAAUUAAUAAUUCCCAAUUUUCUUCUUUAUUAGAUUUCAUAUCAAAAUAAAACUUGGUGAAUAUGUUUUUUAUGGUAUUAUGAACAUAAUAAGAUGAAAGUGAAAAAUCGGAUUCCUUUAAGUACUAGUAUACAUAUUUUAUCCUUUUAUCUAGAAUUUUUCGCUUGAUUUACUGGUUCUAAAAGAUUCGUUAUAAUGAGAGUCGACUUGCAUUGGAUAACUCAUGUCCAAUGAUGACCCAUAAUUUGAUUCAAAGUGCAUUGUUUGUUUUAAAACAUACAUUAUCAUCUUUAGAUGUGUUUUUCCUCCUUAUUUUGAUAGUCUUUGCCAGUAGUUAUCAUUUAUCAUACAUUUCCUCUUUCAAAUAAAUUCAUUCUGAUAUAUAGUACAUGAAUACAUACAAUUUACAUUCAUAAAACGGUAGCACCAGUUCACAUGUUUAAACAAAAACAUGAAAUAUCAUUAAUAAACUGUUGACACAGAGAUAUAUGUCUUUUAGUUAUUAGUUUUGAUAGUUAAAUGCAAAUAUUCAAACUAAAAUGGCAAUUUAUUAAAAUGUAUACUAUUAAAAACAUUCCGUCAUUGAACCAUGACUGAAUGUGCAGGGCCCAAUAACCUCUAUGGAAAAGUUUGCCAAUGCUAAUAACUGUAUACCAAAUGCCAUUGGCUAAUCAUAAGCUCAAACUAACUUGUAAAAUAUGCAAAAGUUUUAAAGUCAAUGAAUCAUAAUGAUAGGAAACAAGUCCUGAAUAUAUCUGAAAUAUUUGAAUUAUUUUGAUGCUGGACAUUUUGCAAAAAAAAAAUCUAUUUGGUAAUAUACCUAAUGCCCCUGAAGAUGUUGUUUCUUUACCAUAACAGGGGUAUUCAAAAAAGUAAUUGUCAUUACAUGUAAUUAAUUUCAUAGUUAAAAGUAAUUUAAAGUAAUGUGUAAUUGAGCAUUAUUUCAAUUACAUUUAAUUGAAAGUAAGAAACUACAUUGCCUUUUUUUUCAUAUACUGAUGGCUUCUUUCAUUUGCUUUCAAGUACAUUGAAGAUUUGUUUGGAAAGAAUUAGAACAAAUUCUUUGGAAAAUAUCACAGAUGUAUAAAAUACUUUAGGCCUGAAGGCAGUAAACUUCUGAAUACCAAUGUCAGAGACAAUAUUUAGCAGGUAUUCUACAACUGCUCUAUUGUAUAGUGUUUCCAUCAUUUUGAAUAUCUCAAAAACUGGAUUAUUAUCAACAUUAAAUUGAAUAAUUAUUUUGAACUUAUCACAACUGAAUAUAAAAAUUUACCAAUGUAAUGGUGUCAAUUAAAAAAAAACAUUAGCAACUAUUACAUAAUAAUAUUACAAUUUCAUGAUCAUUAAAAAGUCUUAAGUUAUAUAUUUAAAUUUUAUAUGUGCGUCUUAAAAACAAAGUUAAAUUCAAAUUACAACCUUAAUGUUAACCUCAUUUUAUAAAAGUUUUACUAGCAUUACCAUGACAAUGUAAAAUGUGUAGAAUUCAAUCAUUGUAAGGUACUUAUUCUUCGCUUUAUGAAAUCAAGACCUACAAUUAGAACAUUUUCUAUUAUUUCUAUUAUCAUAGUGUUAAGCUUAUGCUUUCAUUUUUAUUUUCUUCUCCAUGUUUUCUUUUACAUAUCUCUUAAUUUAAUUUCCUAAAUGAGUCUUACCUCAAACACUUAUUUGUACAUCAUGAAUGGUAGAUAUUUACUGUAAAUUCU